rnacentral:tRNA from 1 species
GCCUGAGUGGCCCAGUCGGUUGGGCAUCUGACUUCAGCUCAGAUCAUGAACUGGCAGUUCGUGAGUUCGAGCGUCGCGUCAGGCU